rnacentral:lncRNA from 1 species
UUACAUAUGUUUCUCUGAUCUGCAGAUGUGGGCAUAUGUGCACUUGUUCUAAAUGUGCAAACGAGUUGGUUCGCAGAGGAGGAAAGUGUCCAUUGUGUCGUGCACCCAUUGUUGAGGUGAUUAGAGCUUACUCCAUACUGUAAAAAGAAACCAUAGAGAAUAAAAUUUGCGAACCAUUGAUAAGUUACGUUGGAGCUGUGAUCGAUUUUACUCGUCUGAAGCUCAAUCUUAUCUGUAGAGUGUUUAGUCAGCCACUGUUAUUCGGAUAACAUUUGGAAAGCUUUGCAGUGUAUUAAUGGAACCAAAAAUAGCGUUUAACUAUGUCCUCAUUCAUUCGUAAAUAAUAUUUCAAUUCUUUCCUGGCGAAAAAAUAGCAAGAUUUGUCUGUGUCACGAUGAGAAUUUUUAGAUUCUCUAAAUUUCAUGCAUGACCACAGCUUGUAAUCUACAAAAAAUAUUUUUUGCCGAACAUGCAUUUGGGAUAAAAAAUUGUCUUCUUAUCCUCAAAAAAAUUCUUUAGCACUGGUUUCUUUGUUGUCAUUAAAUCGGAUUCAAUUCUUUGGUGAAAACUAGAGGGUAAUUGCAAUCAACACUUGGG